AGCUCUGCAAGUUUGCUCCCAUAUUGUUGUAGUUAAAACGCUCGUAGUCUGAAUUAUUUUAAUUUAAAUUUUUUAAAUUAAAAUUUAGUUUUUAUUUUAUAAAAACGUUCACUGUGAACAAAUCAGAACGCUUAAAGUAAUUUUCUUUAUUGAAUGAUUUAGCGCAGUAUGAAAUUUUUACUUUUUAAAUUUUAAUUAAUUUAACAAGUAAUAUCAAAGAGAAUAAUCGGGGAUAGAUCUAUUUCAUGGCGAACAGCGAAAUGUUUUGACCCAUGAGAGAGAAACGAAGGCGAAAGCAUCUAUCAAGUGUAUUUCUA
rnacentral:rRNA from 1 species